GUCGGUGUGGCGCAGUGGUUUAGCGUUCUUGCUUUGGGUCUACAAAGACUACUUGCAAGAGGCCCUCGGUUUGACCCCGAGCUCCGACC